UACAGAGGGUGCGAGCGUUAAUCGGAAUUACUGGGCGUAAAGCGCGCGUAGGCGGCUUGUUAAGUCAAAUGUGAAAUCCCCGAGCUUAACUUGGGCAUUGCAUUCGAUACUGGCAAGCUAGAGUAUGGGAGAGGAAGGUAGAAUUCCAGGUGUAGCGGUGAAAUGCGUAGAGAUCUGGAGGAAUACCGAUGGCGAAGGCAGCCUUCUGGCCUAAUACUGACGCUGAGGAACGAAAGCGUGGGGAGCGAACAGG
rnacentral:rRNA from 1 species